rnacentral:rRNA from 1 species
GUGAGGAAUAUUGGUCAAUGGGCGGGAGCCUGAACCAGCCAAGUCGCGUGAAGGAAGAAGGAUCUAUGGUUCGUAAACUUCUUUUGCAGGGGAAUAAAGUGCAGGACGUGUCCUGUUUUGUAUGUACCCUGAGAAUAAGGAUCGGCUAACUCCGUGCCAGCAGCCGCGGUAAUACGGAGGAUCCGAGCGUUAUCCGGAUUUAUUGGGUUUAAAGGGUGCGUAGGUGGUUUGAUAAGUCAGCGGUGAAAGUUUGCAGCUUAACUGUAAAAAUGCCGUUGAAACUGUCGGACUUGAGUGUAAAUGAGGUAGGCGGAAUACGUGGUGUAGCGGUGAAAUGCAUAGAUAUCACGCAGAACUCCGAUUGCGAAGGCAGCUUACUAAGCUACAACUGACACUGAAGCACGAAAGCGUGGGGAUCAAACAGGAUUAGAAACCCCAGUAGUCC